rnacentral:rRNA from 1 species
UGGGGAAUAUUGCACAAUGGGCGCAAGCCUGAUGCAGCCAUGCCGCGUGUAUGAAGAAGGCCUUCGGGUUGUAAAGUACUUUCAGCGGGGAGGAAGGCGAUAAGGUUAAUAACCUUGUCGAUUGACGUUACCCGCAGAAGAAGCACCGGCUAACUCCGUACCAGCAGCCGCGGUAAUACGGAGGGUGCAAGCGUUAAUCGGAAUUACUGGGCGUAAAGCGCACGCAGGCGGUCUGUCAAGUCGGAUGUGAAAUCCCCGGGCUCAACCUGGGAACUGCAUUCGAAACUGGCAGGCUAGAGUCUUGUAGAGGGGGGUAGAAUUCCAGGUGUAGCGGUGAAAUGCGUAGAGAUCUGGAGGAAUACCGGUGGCGAAGGCGGCCCCCUGGACAAAGACUGACGCUCAGGUGCGAAAGCGUGGGGAGCAAACA